rnacentral:rRNA from 1 species
UCCUGGCUCAGGAUGAACGCUGGCGGCGCGCCUAACACAUGCAAGUCGAACGGUUAAAGCACCUUCGGGUGUGUAUAAAGUGGCGAACGGCUGAGUAACACGUGGGCAACCUGCCCCUCGCACCGGGACAGCCUCGGGAAACCGUGGUUAAUACCGGAUACGCCCCCUUGAGGACAUCCUCUCGGGGGGAAAGCCCCGACGGCGAGGGAUGGGCCCGCGGCCUGUUAGCUAGUUGGUGAGGUAACGGCCCACCAAGGCAAUUAUGGGUAGCUGGGUUGAGAGACCGACCAGUCAGAUUGGGACUGAGACACGGCCCAGACUCCUACGGGAGGCAGCAGUGGGGAAUCUUGCACAAUGGGCGAAAGCCUGAAUGCAGCGACGCCGCGUGCGGGGCGAAGGCCUUCGGGUUGUAAACCGCUUUCAGCAGGGACGAGGCCGCGAGGUGACGGUACCUGCAGAAGAAGCCCCGGCUAACUACGUGCCAGCCGCCGC